GGAGAUGGGAUUAAAGAUUUUACAGUACUUGAUAAAUCAGCCAGUUCCUCUCUAUUAUACUGUCCUCCAAUGUCCAUCUUCCGUAACUGGUAGUCGGCAGCUUCACCCUUUUAGCAGGCUUAUCCAAGCUUACACUGUAAAAGCUGUUCUCAUCCCCAACUAGGAAGAAUCGCUCUGUAUCAAAGACUUUGGGGACC